GCUUGUUGUGUCAGACCCCAAUUCAUUUCAAGAGCACAUACAAAGCACUCUACACUCCAAACCUGCAGAGGGCGACCACACAAGAGAUGGUGGUGGAACCCAAGCCCAACAGGAACUCUUAAAGGGGACCAUAUUUGCCUGCGCACCCACUGGGAAGGCAUGGCACAAAAUGUUUGGAUGCAGUCAACUAGUCUUAGCACUUGCUCCUGGGAAGAAGGAAUGACCACAGCUCCUGAUCAAUCUGAAAGACGCAACUGGUUAUCAACCUAUUCAUUCUAUUCGAUUCCUUGAUUUACUUAUGUCCACUGAAAGAAUCAAACAUCAAGAAAAUAAAAAGUGGAAGAAUAAGAAGAA